UCGAGAAUCUUCGGCAAUGAGCGCAAGCUUGACCGAGCGACGCCGCGUGUGGGAUGAAGGCCUUCGGGUUGUAAACCACUGUCGUAGGGGACGAAAUUCUGCUGGGUACUCCCAACAGAUUGACAGAUCCUAGGAGGAAGGGUGGGCUAAGUUCGUGCCAGCAGCCGCGGUAAGACGUACCACCCGAACGUUAUUCGGAUUCACUGGGCUUACAGAGUCCGUAGGCGGUGGAGAAAGUUAGGCGUGAAAUCCCCCAGCUCAACUGAGGAAUAGCGCUUAAAACUACUUCGCUAGAGAGAGUCAGAGGUAAGCGGAACUGAUGGUGGAGCGGUGAAAUGCGUUGAUAUCAUCAGGAACACCGGUGGCGAAAGCGGCUUACUGGGGCUUUUCUGACGCUGAGGGACGAAAGCUAGGGGAGCGAACGGGAUUAGAUACCCCGGUAGUCC
rnacentral:rRNA from 1 species